AAACCACAUCCAUUUUUUUAAAAUACCAAAAUCACCCUUGACAUUUUGUCCCAAAAGUAAAAACCCUAGUGGCGAUUGUUCUCUGAAGUCAGUGGCGUUUUUCCUCCCUUUGUUGGUGUUGUCGUCGUCGUCCUUGGUGGCGUGAGUGUCGGUCGUCGUCAUUGUCCAUCGUCCUUGGUCUACGCUGCACUGCUAUGCGCUGAUCGUCCGUCUGCUCUGCUCAGCGCUGAUGGUGUUAUAUGACAUCUUUCUGGGAUAGCUACAAGGAAUUUUGGUCGGAGAGGUUCUCCUUCCUUAGCAACUAUUCCAAUGCUAUCCAACGUGAUAAGCCACUCCAUCCUUGGACUGAUUCUGAUGUUGAUCAGUUCAUUGCUUUGGAUUCUGUUCAUGGACCUGCUAUAUGUUUAUGUUGGUCAUCCUUUUCCAUCAUUAAUCAUUAACUCUAAACAGCAUUGUUGUCAUCGUAUAGUAUAGAAGAGACCUUAAUCUACGGGUCAUCAUUCUUUCUAUGAUCCAAGUGGACCAAAGAACUGAACCUAUUUUCAAUGCCAAAGAUGAUUGUUGAUCCUCUUGAAAUGUCAUUUUGCUCUUCCAAGAAGAGGAAAAAGAACAUUGUAUAGUGCUAAAAUAUAUGUUACAGCUCAUG